CCUCAACUCACCCACUCAAUGCAUCACCAUUUUGGAGGACAAAGUCUAUGCUGAAACCAUAGGAUACUUUUCCUUCAACCAACCUCAGCUGUGUCCAUGCCUGUCAGCACAGACAGAAUUCGUCUUCUUUUGGCGUUGGGGACCAUAUUUGUUUUGGAGGCUAUGGUGACUGCAGGGGGCCUUGUUGUCAGCAGAAGUUCUUCAUCUGCACGUCUGGAAUCUUUGCAAAUGGAACGUUCAUCUUCCUCCUUGGCAAAGAGUUCCACAAGAGAAAUCUCUCCAUCAUCAGACCAGCAUAACACAACUGUCAACCAGUCUCAACCUCCUGGCUUUGUGACAGGUGUCACUGUUGGAACAGUCUCUGGAGCAAUAGCUGUAUGUGGAAUGGUUUUUGCUGGAGUUAAGUUGGCGGGAUGUUUAGAGUGAGUUCCAAUCCACUGGUGCACAAUACUGAUAGUGAAGAACAUGUUUUACAUUCAUUCAUAUACAACUUCUAUUCACAGAUUUAUGUAAUUGAGCAAGCUGGCUGUUGUUGAUGUCAUUUAAUAUUUAAA